rnacentral:rRNA from 1 species
AGUGAACGCUGGCGGUAGGCCUAACACAUGCAAGUCGAACGGCAGCACAGUAAGAUCUUGCUCUUACGGGUGGCGACUGGCGGACGGGUGAGGAGUGCAUCGGAAUCUUCUUUUUCGUGGGGGAUAACGUAGGGCAACUUACGCUACUACCGCAUACGUUCUACGGGUGAAAGCAGGAGAUCUUCGGACCUUGCCCGAUUCAAUGAGCCGAUGUCGGAUUAGCUAGUUGGCUGGGUAAAGGCCCACCAAGGCGACGAUCCGUAGCUGGUCUGAGAGGAUGAUCGGCCACACUGGAACUGAGACACGGUCCAGACUCCUACGGGAGGCAGCAGUGGGGAAUAUUGGACAAUGGGCGCAAGCCUGACGCAGCAAUACCGCGUGGGUGAUGAAGGCCUUCGGGUUGUAAAGCCCUUUUGUUGGGAAAGAAAAGCAGCAGAUUAAUACCCCGCUGUUCUGACGGUACCCAAAGAGAAAGCACCGGCUAACUUCGUG